AGUGAACGCUGGCGGUAGGCCUAACACAUGCAAGUCGAACGGCAGCACAGUAAGAGCUUGCUCUUACGGGUGGCGAGUGGCGGACGAGUGAGGAAUACAUCGGAAUCUACUUUUUCGUGGGGGAUAACGUAGGGAAACUUACGCUAAUACCGCAUACGACCUACGGGUGAAAGCAGGGGAUCUUCGGACCUUGCGCGAUUGAAUGAGCCGAUGUCGGAUUAGCUAGUUGGCGGGGUAAAGGCCCGCCAAGGCGACGAUCCGUAGCUGGUCUGAGAGGAUGAUCAGCCCCACUAGACCGGAGCCACGGUCCAGACUACUACGGGAGGCAGCAGUGGGGAAUAUUGGACAAUGCGCGCAAGCCUGACCCAGCCAUACCGCGUGGGUGAAGAAGGCCUUCGGGUUGUAAAGCCCUUCUGUUGGGAAAGAAAAGCAGCAGGUUAAUCCCCCGAUGUUCUGACGGUACCCAAAGAAUAAGCACCGGCUAACUUCGUG
rnacentral:rRNA from 1 species